rnacentral:rRNA from 1 species
GUAGUCAUAUGCUUGUCUCAAAGAUUAAGCCAUGCAUGUCUAAGUAUAAGCAAUUUGUACGGUGAAACUGCGAAUGGCUCAUUAAAUCAGUUAUCGUUUAUUUGAUAGUACCUUACUACAUGGAUACCUGUGGUAAUUCUAGAGCUAAUACAUGCUUAAAACCCCGACUUCGGAAGGGGUGUAUUUAUUAGAUAAAAAACCAAUGCCCUUCGGGGCUCCUUGGUGAUUCAUAAUAACUUAUCGAAUCGCAUGGCCUUGCGCCGGCGAUGGUUCAUUCAAAUUUCUGCCCUAUCAACUUUCGAUGGUAGGAUAGUGGCCUACCAUGGUGGCAACGGGUAACGGGGAAU